rnacentral:rRNA from 1 species
AUUGGGCGUAAAGAGCUCGUAGGCGGUUUGUCGCGUCUGCUGUGAAAGCCCGGGGCUUAACCCCGUGGUGUGCAGUGGGUACGGGCAGACUAGAGUGCAGUAGGGGAGACUGGAAUUCCUGGUGUAGCGGUGAAAUGCGCAGAUAUCAGGAGGAACACCGAUGGCGAAGGCAGGUCUCUGGGCUGUUACUGACGCUGAGGAGCGAAAGCAUGGGGAGCGAACAGGAUUAGAUACCCUGGUAGUCCAUGCCGUAAACGUUGGGCACUAGGUGUGGGGGACAUUCCACGUUUUCCGCGCCGUAGCUAACGCAUUAAGUGCCCCGCCUGGGGAGUACGGCCGCAAGGCUAGAACUCAAAGGAAUUGACGGGGGCCCGCACAAGCGGCGGAGCAUGCGGAUUAAUUCGAUGCAACGCGAAGAACCUUACCAAGGCUUGACAUACACCAGACCGGCCCAGAGAUGGGUUUUCCUCUUUGAGGUUGGUGUACAGGUGGUGCAUGGUUGUCGUCAGCUCGUGUCGUGAGAUGUUGGGUUAAGUCCCGCAACGAGCGCAACCCUCGUUCUAUGUUGCCAGCACGUGAUGGUGGGGACUCAUAGGAGACUGCCGGGGUCAACUCGGAGGAAGGUGGGGAUGACGUCAAAUCAUCAUGCCCCUUAUGUCUUGGGCUUCACGCAUGCUACAAUGGCCGGUACAAUGGGUUGCGAUACCGUGAGGUGGAGCUAAUCCCAAAAAGCUGGUCUCAGUUCGGAUCGUGGUCUGCAACUCGACCACGUGAAGUCGGAGUCGCUAGUAAUCGCA